UACACUGGUGGCGACCGGCGCACGGGUGAGUAACACGUGUGCAACCAACCCCGUACCGGGAGAUAACCCGCGGAAACGUGGACUAACAUCCCAUGAGACUCUAGAUCCGCAUGGCUCUAGAUUUAAAAUUCCGGUGGUACGGGACGGGCACGCGCGACAUUAGGUAGUUGGCGGGGUAAGGGCCCACCAAGCCGACGAUGUCUAGGGGUUCUGAGAGGAAGGUCCCCCACAUUGGAACUGAGACACGGUCCAA
rnacentral:rRNA from 1 species